rnacentral:rRNA from 1 species
AUGGAUCCACCGAUAUCGAAGCCAGUUCCAGCUCGCCACAUCGUUCACAUCGCACACACGAUGCCAUCGUCACCGCCGUCGCCGCCGCCGGCGGCGGCACCACGAAGCCGUCGAUCCAAGAAAAAGACACGGACGUACCACGUGUCUGUGUUCUGGUUCACGCCGGUCCCGCUGCCAGAGAGGGACUGGGCGGAGCUGCACCCUGACCUGAUCUCCUGCAUCUUCCACAAGCUGGACCAGGCCGAGCUCCUGCUCGGCGGCGUGGCGGGCGUGUGCCGCUCCUGGCGGCGGGCCGCCCGGGAAGAGCCGGAGUUGUGGCGCUGCAUCGACCUGCGCGGCGGCCUGUGGUUCGUACCGCCGUUCCACCCCAAGUUCAGCCUCGAGGCCAUGGUGCGGGCCGCCCUGCGGCUUAGCCAGGGCCAGUGCGAGGCCUUCCUGACCAACCUCGCCGACGACGAUAUCCUCCUCUUGCUCGCCAAGCAGGCACCUGCGCUAAAGUGCCUCCAUCUCCAUAGGUGCUAUGUCUCCGAUGAAGGAUUUGCGGCGGUGAUUAAGAUGUUACCUCUACUUGAGGAGCUCGAGAUUUCGAAAUGUCCGCAAAUAUAUAGUAGGGAGGUAUAUGAACUUGUCGCUACAGCAUGCCCACUGCUAAAGCACUUCAGACAUGUCUCGGGAAAGAACUGCCAUGCUGGUUAUGCGAUAACAUUUGCGGCUCCAAGGAUGCGCAAACUACGUUCCUUGGAUGUUGUCGGUUGCACCUUCGGUAGGGAAGUUCUGCUAUCUAUCCUAGACAAUUGCCAUGACCUAGAGUACCUUAACAUGUCAGUGUGCGACCCUAUUGCCAUUGAUAACCCACCAGAAAAUCUUGCCUGGAUGAGCAUGAAUGACCUUUAUUGGUACUGGAGCAACUAUUACAAUGACUAUACUGGUUGUAACUGCUGCCAUCCCUACAAGCCCAGAUGUAACUACUGUCGUACCUGGUCAUAUCUGCAUUACCAAGACGAUCCCUAUUAUGAUUACUGCUACUACCUUGGUGACGGUGAUGAUGUUGAUGAUGCCAAUCUCGAAGAAUAUGAGAAUAUCCUUGACAUCAAGAGCAUGCGUAGGUACUUAAGCUAA